AGAGUUUGAUCCUGGCUCAGGACGAACGCUGGCGGCGUGCCUAAUACAUGCAAGUUGAACGCAACAAAGACACCAGAGCUUGCUCUACCGUCUUUGUUGAGUAGCGAACGGGUGAGUAACGCGUGGGUAACCUGCCUUAUAGCGGGGGAUAACUAUUGGAAACGAUAGCUAAUACCGCAUAACAAUAGAGAUUGCAUAAUCUUUAUUUGAAAGUGCCAACUGGUACACUAUGAGAUGGACCCGCGUUGUAUUAGCUAGUUGGUAGUGUAAUGGACUACCAAGGCGAUGAUACAUAGCCGACCUGAGAGGGUGAUCGGCCACAUUGGGACUGAGACACGGCCCAAACUCCUACGGGAGGCAGCAGUAGGGAAUCUUCGGCAAUGGACGAAAGUCUGACCGAGCAACGCCGCGUGAGUGAAGAAGGUUUUCGGAUCGUAAAACUCUGUUGUUAGAGAAGAAUGUUGAUUAGAGUGGAAAAUUAAUCAAGUGACGGUAUCUAACCAGAAAGGGACGGCUAACUACGUGCCAGCAGCCGCGGUAAUACGUAGGUCCCGAGCGUUGUCCGGAUUUAUUGGGCGUAAAGCGAGCGCAGGUGGUUUAAUAAGUCUGAUGUAAAAGGCAGUGGCUCAACCAUUGUGUGCAUUGGAAACUGUUAGACUUGAGUGCAGUAGAGGAGAGUGGAAUUCCAUGUGUAGCGGGUGAAUGCGUAGAUAUAUGGA
rnacentral:rRNA from 1 species